GACGAACGCUGGCGGCGUGCUUAACACAUGCAAGUCGAACGGAAAGGCCCUGCUUUUGUGGGGUGCUCGAGUGGCGAACGGGUGAGUAACACGUGAGUAACCUGCCCUUGACUUUGGGAUAACUUCAGGAAACUGCGGCUAAUACCCGAUAGGAGCUCCUGCUGCAUGGUGGGGGAUGGAAAGUUUCGGCGGUUGGGGCUGGACUCGCGGCUUAUCAGCUUGUUGGUGGGGUAGUGGCUUACCAAGGCUUUGACGGGUAGCCGGCCUGGGAGGGUGACCGGCCACCUGGGGACUGCGGUAGGGACCAGAAGCGUACCUUAGGCAGCGGGCGGGAACAUUGCGGAAUGGGCGCAAGUCUGAGGCAGCAACGCCGCGUGCGUGAUGACGGCCUUCGGGUUGUAAACCGCUUUCUCCUGUGACGAAGCGUUAGUGACGGUAAUGGGUAAAGAAGCACCGGCUAACUACGUG
rnacentral:rRNA from 1 species